UGGGGAAUAUUGGGCAAUGGGCGCAAGCCUGACCCAGCGACGCCGCGUGGGUGAUGAAGGCCCUCGGGUCGUAAACCACUGUCAGGAGGAAAGAAAAGUCGGCCGGAUAAUACUCGGUCGACCUGACGGUACCUCCAAAGGAAGCACCGGCUAACUCCGUGCCAGCAGCCGCGGUAAUACGGAGGGUGCAAGCGUUGUUCGGAAUUACUGGGCGUAAAGCGCGUGUAGGUGGUCGAGUAAGUCGAAUGUGAAAGCCCCGGGCUCAACCCGGGAAGUGCAUCCGAAACUGCUCGACUAGAGUCCCGGAGAGGAAGGCAGAAUUCCCAAUGUAGGGGUGAAAUCCGUAGAUAUUGGGAGGAAUACCGGUGGCGAAGGCGGCCUUCUGGACGGUGACUGACACUCAGACGCGAAAGCGUGGGGAGCAAACAGGAUUAGAUACCCCAGUAGUCCCUGAGCGGGCUGGCAAGGCGCAU
rnacentral:rRNA from 1 species